GGAGGUGGGCACGCGCGAGCUGAACAAAAAAGGAGAGACUCAGCUAGUUUUGACUGCGGUCAACUAGCGGAAAAGAGUGCGUGAUUCGGAGGUCCACCGUGCUAGAGCUUCGCGGCAGAGGUGGGCGAAGCAACCUUUCGGUUUGGCGGUCGCACCACCGUGAGAACCGUGUUUCCAGCUCCAGCUGUCGGGGCUGGAGGAUAGCUUGGACCUGCUUGGCUGCGUCACGGAGGCGGCCGCGGAGGGCCGUCGGGGAGCCGGACGGCGUCUGGCUGAUGCGCUGCGGCAGAGACAGCAUCGGGUUCGCCGGGAGAGCGGCGAGUGGAUUUAGUUCGGGACUGGUGGGCGGUAACCUACCGAGCAACUGAACUAUGACCUGAGGAUCGUGCUGUUUGGGAAGACCUGGGUUGGUAAAAGUACUCUGGGAGACAUCAUCAUGGGAAACACAGAGACUUUCACCUCAAAGGAUUUGUCCAAAGAUCGCACACAGAAAUCCCACAGCACUGUUGAAGGUCAAAAAGUGGUUGUUGUUGAUACUCCAGGUCUGUUUAAAUCUGGAAAACAUGAAGAUGAGCUGGUGAAAGAGAUCAAGCGAUCCAUUGAUCUUGCCAGUCCUGGUCCUCAUGUGUUCCUGCUGGUGCUGAGGUUCGGUAUGAUCACCUCUGAAGAAUUAGAGGUACUGGAGGUUUUUGAGCGCACCUUUGGCAGACGUGCAUUGGCCUACACAACAGUGGUGUUCACCCAUAAAAAUGAAGAGUAUGAAGCUAACAUACAGGAGACUAUGAUCGAGAGUAAGGAUUUCAGAGAACUCCUUGAGCGGUGCCAGUGGAGAUAUUUUGCUUUUAACAUUAAAGACAAAAGUCCUGCUCAGGUCACCGAGCUGCUGAAGAAGAUAACACCGAUGGGAAAAGAUUACUUCUACACUCCUGAGAUGCUCCAAGAGGCUGGAAAACCGGAAGAGCAGGAAGAAAAACCAAAAACAGAACAGGCAGGCGUGCGCUUCUGGAAAGGACUGGAUUGGUGGGAAUCAUUUUGGGAUCUGUGGGGGGAUAUUUACUUGGAGGUGGUGAGCUGACGUCUACAUCAGGAGCUUUACUGGGAGCUUUAGGGGGGUCAGUACUGUCGAUGGGAACAACAGCUUUAGUGAUGAAGGCCAAAAUGCUCACUGAUAAAUGCUGCAAAAAGUGAGGUUUUAGUCCUACUGGGGGAUUUUGAUUUAGUUACUCUCUUUAACCUGAGUUAAACACAUCUAAUUUUCAUAUUUCAGGAAGGGUUUUUAAGACAGAGUCAGUGGUUUGCAGAGUAAUUUACAGUGAAAUAAGUACUAACUACCACAGGUGCUUCAGUGUUGGUGGAGGGGAGAGCAACACAAUUACUGGGUACUUUCAUUACUGGGACACAAACCUGAAACAGAACAUUAUUCUCCAUUUGAAAGCAGGUUUCCACCUGAUGAAAGUACCACUCACAGGAGACAAUGUCUCAUAAUAAUGACUCAUGUCAGGUGUGAAUAUAUCGCAGGAAGUGGACAGUCCUGAAACUUGAUCUACUUUGACCAGGACCAGAUGUUUAGCUGUGUUGGAGCAUCUAAAAGAAAGUCUGUGAGGCACUCAGCAGACAGUGCUGAGGAGGAGAACGACCGCGGUGUUUGGAUCUGCUGCUGACGUCUCAGAGCUCGAUUGUACGAGAUUCCAACAGGAGCUAAAUGACUGGAGGCUCUGAGCUCUACGCUGUCACCGUGGGACCCCACCACGGCCCUGCCAGGUGCAAGCUUUUUGUACAUGAACACGUCAUCAUUGUACAUUAUUAUUUACAACUGAACAUCCACCAGGUCACCAGAGUUUAGGGUUCAGGUUUUAUAGGAGCCACAUGUUAAUAAAAAACUAGAAGAUGUUAGAUUUAGAUGAUGUUUCUAAUAUUUUGGCUUUGCAAUGUUUCCUUUUGUGAGUCUGAAACAACUGAAACAGGAUAGAAACAGGUGGAGCCUAACUCUGGAUUUGCUGCAGUGACCUGUUGGAUGUUAAGUGAACUUUUAUCUUCAUUAACCUGUGACUGCUUUCAUAUCCAGUGCUGAUCUGUGAGAUAACACACAGUAAUGGCUUUCAAUGUGUUUUUGUGUGUUGGACAGUGGGACAGAUCGGUAAUCUAUCAGUUUGAUCAGAUUAGAUCCUGCUGGCCGUCACAGACUCUGUUCUACAUUCAUACAGUUUGUUCUCAUUUUAAAGGAUUUUUGAGUUUCUGGGUUUUCUUGUGUUUGUUCUCCUGGAUAAACUCCACGUUCUUACUUUAGGAGUUUCUACAGGACUGUUUCCUGAUCCAAAUGUAAAUGUGUGCUUCAGCUUCAGUGCAGACGGUUCUCACAUGUUUGUGGAUGGAAAAACGUUGGUGUCUUAAACCUGUAUAUUGAUAUAUUGAUAUAUAUGAUAUAUAUUGAUUUUGUGCCUGAACUUGUACAGAAAUACACAAGCCAUUACCUGUACUCUAAUAUGUAAUCCAAUAUUCAAACUCUUAUGGCAAUGCUAAUUUUAUUUAUAUAGGACAUUUCAUUCAAUGGAAACUGAAUGUGCAAAGAACAUAAAAACAUGCAAACCUGUGCAGGUUUGAUAUGCUUUAAGGCGGUGAACAAAUCAACAGUGUAAGCCUGUGAGAAAAGAAAGGUUUUGAAUGUACAACGAAUUGUAACUGAUCUCAGGUCAGCAGGCAGCUUGUUCCAAAGAAUAGGACCACAAUAACUGAAAGCACCUUCACCAUACUUAGAUCUGAUUCUGGGAACAGUUCAAAGUUCUGACCCUGAUGACCUGAGAGGUCUGGGCUGUAGACAGUGAGCCGGUCAGUUAAACUGAGAGCUUCAUGAACUAGUAGAAGAAUUUUAAAGGUACAUCUAUAUCGAACUGGGUGCCAGUGAAGUGAUUUCAGCACUGAGACUGUGUCACGGUCCUGGGUCGGUGACACAGUUUUUUUUGUAUUAUUAUUUUUGAUCUUGGAUUUCAUCGUGGUGGUUUUUGACUUUUAGUGUUCUGAUCUCUGAUUUGGAUUUCUAGCACUCAAGUUCUUCUCUGUUCUGUAAAUUCUAGUUCUUAGGUUUUGUUCCUGCGUCCUUGUGUUCAGUGUAGGUUUAGUUCAAUGUCAGGUCUGUCGUGUGCUUCCUGUUUUACUUUGAAGGUUCGUGUCUCAUGUCAGUGUUUCUAGUUUUGCUUCCCUUGGUCUCACAGCUGUGCUCUCCUCCUGUGUCUCAUUCACUCGUUUUCCCUUCAGUGUAUUUCAGCCCUGUGUUUCCCUCUGUCAGUGUCGUGUCCUCUACGUUACCUGUGUGUUCCUCACUUGUUGUGGUUUGUCAGGUCACAUUAUGUCAUGAACCCCCAGUUUGGGUUACUCUUCCAAGUGCUCAUGUAUUGUGUUUCUUAGUCUGUUUGCCAGUGAAUAAAAGCUGCUGCCUAAAAGUUAAAUACUCUGUCUCAGAGUCCUGCAUUUGGAUCUGCCUCCCACACAGCUCACCGUGACAAACCGAUUCUGCCUGCUGCAUUUUGAAUGAGCUGAAGUUGUCCUAUGAUGAUUUGGAGACUCCAGCAAGUGGAGGGUUACAUCACUCUAACCUGCCUGAAAUGAAAGCAUGGAGCAGUUUCUCAGGGGUAGUUUCAGAUAGGAAUUUUCUAACCUUAAAUAUAAUUUAAGAAAGCAUUUCUGGGACCUUAUUGAUGGGAUUAUCAAAAUUGAGGCCAAAGUUCAAGACUUCUUCACUGUGUUCCAGAGACCAGGAUGAUAAAUAUGAACAAUUUUCUCUUUUAUCUCUGUUCAGUUCUAGUAAAGACUUCAGAAAGUUAACGUCAUCAGUGCAGCUUAUUAGUUUGUGAACAGAAGUUUGGAGGAAACUGAUAAGUACAGCUGUGUGUCAUCUGCACAGAAAAGUAUGAUAUGUUAUGAUUCUAUAGGAUAAUGUGAAGUUUGAACAGUAAUGGACUGAGGACUGACCCUUGAGGAACCCCUGAUUGAAUUUUAAUUUGUGCAGAUCUAAAACUGCUAAUUGACCCUUUAGAUAUGAUGGGAGCCAAUCAAGAAAUGUUAAAACAAGUGAGUCCUGAAGCCUUUGAAUUAGAACGUCAUGAUCAACAGUGAUGAACGCAGCAGUGAGAUCAACAAGAACUAAAACUGUCUUUGAGUCACUGAUGAUCUUCAGGUCAUUGACUUCAGUAAGAGCUGUUUCUGUGCUGUGAUUACUUCUGGACCCUGACUGGUGCAUGUUAAAAAGACUGUGAGGUUUGGGGUCCUCACACA